rnacentral:rRNA from 1 species
UGCGUAGGCGGUUGAUUAAGUCAGUUGUGAAAUACGGCAGCUUAACUGUCGAGGUGCAAUUGAUACUGGUUGACUUGAGUACAGACGAGGUAGGCGGAAUUGACGGUGUAGCGGUGAAAUGCAUAGAUAUCGUCAAGAACACCGAUAGCGAAGGCAGCUUACUAGACUGUAACUGACGCUGAGGCACGAAAGUGUGGGGAUCAAACAGGAUUAGAUACCCUGGUAGUCCACACUGUAAACGAUGAUUACUCGAUGUUGGCGAUACACAGCCAGCGUCUUAGCAAAAGCGAUAAGUAAUCCACCUGGGGAGUACGCCGGCAACGGUGAA